CUGCCCAGAGCCAUCACCACCACCAAUAACACACAUUUACACUGAACAGUACCACUGCUUCUCUUUCUCUUAUUCACUAUUAUCCCUAACAGGAUUUUGACAACUGAUUUUCCCAUUAGAUCAUUAAGCCUGAGCUUUGACUUUACACUGACCUCAGGUUUAUAUGAACACUAUCCCUUUAUAUGUCAUUGUAUAUUUUUCUAAACCUUUUAUUUGAUUGCUCACAAAUCAGAACAAAUUAAAGUUGUCAACUUAGGAAGAGUUUGCUUUUGCAAUUGCUUCUGUGAGAAAAAGAAUGAGUUGGGAAUGUUUGAGGCAAAUGGAAGAGUAGAGAGUGGACUGCAGCAGGUUCAACUCCUUUGCUGCAGGGAUGGAACAUGUUCACAGCUAAGAGCUGUGCCAGCAGAUUUAGCUCCUCUACCAAUGGACAGAUGAAUUUAUGAAAGGCUGUGAAAUGUCCCCAAGUAGCCAGCAGUGAAUGAAGACAGCCGAGGUUUCAUAUUCUUUUCAACUUCAGACUGGCAAUUAUUCCUAGAAGACCCUUGGUAUCCAGCAGUAUUCAGGGCUGGGAAAUUGGAAGGACCCUCCAGGGUAAAUGCUGCCAUUUAUUAAAAAGAGCACUGAAGAGAAGACAGAUGCUUUGCUGCUGAACCAGUAAG